GCCGGGCAAAGUGGCACUCGCCUGUAAUUCCAGUGACUCAGGAGGCUAGACAGGAGGAUCAUGGGUUCAAAGCCAGCCUCAGCAAUGUCGAGGCACUAAGCAACUCAAUGAGAUCCUGUCUGUA
rnacentral:sRNA from 1 species